AUUGAACGCUGGCGGAAUGCUUUACACAUGCAAGUCGAACGGCAGCACGGACUUCGGUCUGGUGGCGAGUGGCGAACGGGUGAGUAAUAUAUCGGAACGUGCCCAGUCGUGGGGGAUAACGUAGUGAAAAUUACGCUAAUACCGCAUACGAUCUAAGGAUGAAAGCGGGGGAUCGCAAGACCUCGCGCGAUUGGAGCGGCCGAUAUCAGAUUAGGUUGUUGGUGGGGUAAAAGCCCACCAAGCCGACGAUCUGUAGCUGGUCUGAGAGGACGACCAGCCACACUGGGACUGAGACACGGCCCAGACUCCUACGGGAGGCAGCAGUGGGGAAUUUUGGACAAUGGGCGCAAGCCUGAUCCAGCAAUGCCGCGUGCAGGAUGAAGGCCUUCGGGUUGUAAACUGCUUUUGUACGGAACGAAAAGGUUUCCUCUAAUACAGGGGCUAAUGACGGUACCGUAAGAAUAAGCACCGGCUAACUACGUG
rnacentral:rRNA from 1 species